rnacentral:rRNA from 1 species
AUUGAACGCUGGCGGCAUGGCUAAUGCAUGCAAGUCGAACGAAAGCCCUUCGGGGCGAAAGUGGCGAAAGGGCGAGUAAUACGAUCGAACGUACCCCAAGGUGGAGGAUAGUGUCGGGAAACUGACGGUAAUACUCCGUGUGCUCUUCGGAGGAAAGCUUUGGCGCCUCGGGAGCGGCGAUCGUCCUAUCAGGUAGUUGGUGAGGUAAUGGCUCACCAAGCCGAAGACGGGUAGCGGGUGUGAGAGCAUGACCCGCCGCAUCGGGACUGAGACACUGCCCGGACUCCUACGGGAGGCUGCUGCGACGAAUCUUCCGCAAUGGGCGCAAGCCUGACGGAGCAAUGCCGCGUGUGGGACGAAGCGUCUUCGACGUGUAAACCACUGUCAGAAUCUAGGAACACUGACCAGAUUCAAAGGAAGGGCCGGCUAACCUCGUG